rnacentral:rRNA from 1 species
UACGGAGGAUGCAAGCGUUAUCCGGAAUUAUUGGGCGUAAAGCGUCCGCAGGUGGCCAUGUAAGUCUGCUGUCAAAGCGUCUGGCUCAACCAGAUAAAGGCAGUGGAAACUACAUAGCUAGAGUAAGGUAGGGGUAGAGGGAAUUCCUGGUGUAGCGGUGAAAUGCGUAGAGAUCAGGAAGAACACCGGUGGCGAAAGCGCUCUGCUGGACCUUAACUGACGCUGAGGGACGAAAGCUAGGGGAGCGAAUGGG